AAUGGGGGAAACCCUGACGCAGCAAUGCCGCGUGAGUGAGGAAGGCCUUCGGGUUGUAAAGCUCUGUCAGAUGGGAAGAAAAGCAUUGGUCUAAUAGGCCUUUGCCCUGACGGUACCAUCAAAGGAAGCACCGGCUAACUUCGUGCCAGCAGCCGCGGUAAUACGAAGGGUGCAAGCGUUGUUCGGAUUUACUGGGCGUAAAGCGCGCGCAGGCGGAUUAAUAAGUCAGAUGUGAAAUCUCGGGGCUCAACCCCGAAACUGCGUCUGAAACUGUUGAUCUAGAGUUAUGGAGGGGAGAAGGGAAUUUCGCAUGUAGGGGUAAAAUCCGUAGAGAUGCGAAGGAACACCAGAGCCGAAGGGGCUUCUCUGGCCAUACACUGACGCUGAGGCGCGAAAGCGUGGGUAGCAAACUAGGAU
rnacentral:rRNA from 1 species